CCGGAGGAGUCUGAGCGGAGGGCCAGGGCCGUGGCCGCGGCCGGGCAGCUCGGCAGAGGUGGGGGCCGGAGUGGUUGGAGGCGGCCGGGCGAGGAGGUGAAGGGAUGGUGAGGAGGUUGCUCGCUCACUCAGGAGAUUCUCAUGCAGAUGUCAGGAAGGAUGAUGAUGAUAAUACAGGAGACCUACCGAUGUGGAGAG